rnacentral:lncRNA from 1 species
UUGAGAUUAUUCUACAAAAAUUUACUGUAUUUCUCAGUACAGAUAACAAACGAAGACAAGAAUGUGUGAGCCACUAAAGGCUGAAGAUUGUGCUUAGAAAGUUGCACUGACUGAAUCUUAAAUCAGCCCCUACAGAUGGCCAAUAAAAUGAUACAGAUAUGAACAGUUGUUAGUCAUAUAGAAACAAAACAGAAGGAACAGAAAAAAAUAUGUAUGGCUUCCUUUGCUCAUACAGUAUGCAGUCAGCAUCCCAGAACCCUGCUGGAUGGAUUCAGUUGGGCAUCACUGGGCAAGUACUUUGGGCAUGUUCUGAAAUUGAAAAUGUGUCUGUUUGUAUGUGCCAUCAGUGAGCAUCCAAGUCACUGACAAAACCUUCCCACUAUGGAGAGUCUUUAGAGUUUUUUCCUCUGUACAUAAUAGAACAUUCCUUUGUACUGGGUUUUGUCCUGUUUCCUUCCACUAUAGCUUCAUUAUCCUUCCUUGUCACACAUCCUCCCUCCAGAAAGGUGACUUGAAGUACUUAACAAACACAUUUGUCAGCAGAUUUCUUUCAUCGCAGCAGCAGGACUUUAUCUUCCUUGGGGCAGCCUGCUGCUUUGGUUUCCUACAGAGAAAGAAGCGUUGAACCUGCAGUGAUGAAAAGAUGAUUAAUGAAUCUCAGAACUGCAUAGAACAUGCAGUUUACUUGUGAGAAGUGCCCAGUGAAAUGCUCCAUGAAGGCAGAUCUUCCCUGCAGCAAGGAUCUUUAUAUUCAUUUUACAAUGUCCAAGCAUAAGUGGGAAGAGGGUGAAUGCAGUGGACCAGCUAAGAAGAGCUGCUCGAGAUUCAGAGAAGACUGGUUGAAGGAGAUGUUUGAAAUCAACAUACCACAUGCAUCUGGUUGGCAGCGCAUAAGUCUUGGAGAUGUUUUCCAGUAUCGUGAAAGCGGGGAUGUCCUGUGUACCAUCUGCAUGCGUGCAGGAGCCAACAGCAAGUGGACGACCAGAAAAAAAUUGGAAUAGAUGCUCCAUCAUCAGUACUUCCUUUCACCAGUCAGUAUUGGAGGCCUUCACAUCCUUUUGGAACAUUCUGACUACCUAACCUGGACACCUGUGCACUAUCAUCCCCAGGUACCUUGUAGGGCUGUAUGGAAUGCCUGCUUUUCACUUUGAUUUCAGAUCUGGCAUUUUGGAGGGAGAAUGAUUCAUUUUGGUGUUUUAAACCACUGUUCCAUUUCAUUUUUGGCCCCUAUAGGUUUUGUUUUGGAGCUGUUUCGGAAUUCCAAUGGUGUUUCGGCCAUAGGCUAUAAUGGGGAAUCACAAAACUGCCUAUAACUUAGUAAUUUAUUGCUUUAUUCAGAUGAGACUUGCAGAGAUGGUAGCCCCUGCUGAGGCCAUGAAUUCUGCCAAGUUUCAAGGAGAUAUGUGUAG